rnacentral:rRNA from 1 species
GUCCACGCCCUAAACGAUGUCAACUGGUUGUUGGACGGCUUGCUGUUCAGUAACGAAGCUAACGCGUGAAGUUGACCGCCUGGGGAGUACGGCCGCAAGGUUGAAACUCAAAGGAAUUGACGGGACCCGCACAAGCGGUGGAUGAUGUGGUUUAAUUCGAUGCAACGCGAAAACCUUACCUACCCUUGACAUGUUAAGAAUCUUGCAGAGAUGUGAGAGUGCUCGAAAGAGAACUUAAACACAGGUGCUGCAUGGCCGUCGU